rnacentral:rRNA from 1 species
UACGAAGGGGGCUAGCGUUGCUCGGAAUCACUGGGCGUAAAGCGCACGUAGGCGGCUUUUUAAGUCAGGGGUGAAAUCCUGGAGCUCAACUCCAGAACUGCCUUUGAUACUGAGAAGCUUGAGUCCGGGAGAGGUGAGUGGAACUGCGAGUGUAGAGGUGAAAUUCGUAGAUAUUCGGAAGAACACCAGUGGCGAAGGCGGCUCACUGGACCGGCAUUGACGCUGAGGUGCGAAAGCGUGGGGAGCAAACAGG